UGUUGCUAUGCGGUUGCUAGGGAACCCGGGGUGGUUGCUAAGAUUUUGCUAUGCGGUUGCUAGGGUACCCGGGGUGGUUGCUAGAGUGUUGCUAUG